UACAGGGGGGGCAAGCGUUGUUCGGAAUUACUGGGCGUAAAGGGCUCGUAGGUGGCCAACUAAGUCAGACGUGAAAUCCCUCAGCUUAACUGGGGAACUGCGUCUGAUACUGGAUGGCUUGAGUUUGGGAGAGGGAUGCGGAAUUCCAGGUGUAGCGGUGAAAUGCGCAGAUAUCAGGAGGAACCCCAGAGGCGAAGGCGGCGCUCUGGCUCGCAACUGACGCUCAGACACGACAGCAUGGGGAGCGAACGGG
rnacentral:rRNA from 1 species